rnacentral:rRNA from 1 species
GGCGGACGGGUGAGUAACACGUGGGUAACCUACCCAUCAGAGGGGGAUAACACUUGGAAACAGGUGCUAAUACCGCAUAACAGUUUAUGCCGCAUGGCAUAAGAGUGAAAGGCGCUUUCGGGUGUCGCUGAUGGAUGGACCCGCGGUGCAUUAGCUAGUUGGUGAGGUAACGGCUCACCAAGGCCACGAUGCAUAGCCGACCUGAGAGGGUGAUCGGCCACACUGGGACUGAGACACGGCCCAGACUCCUACGGGAGGCAGCAGUAGGGAAUCUUCGGCAAUGGACGAAAGUCUGACCGAGCAACGCCGCGUGAGUGAAGAAGGUUUUCGGAUCGUAAAACUCUGUUGUUAGAGAAGAACAAGGACGUUAGUAACUGAACGUCCCCUGACGGUAUCUAACCAGAAAGCCACGGCUAACUACGUGCCAGCAGCCGCGGUAAUACGUAGGUGGCAAGCGUUGUCCGGAUUUAUUGGGCGUAAAGCGAGCGCAGGCGGUUUCUUAAGUCUGAUGUGAAAGCCCCCGGCUCAACCGGGGAGGGUCAUUGGAAACUGGGAGACUUGAGUGCAAAGAGAGAGUGAAUUCCAUGUGGUGGCGGAUGAAAUGCGUAGAUUAUGGAGGAACACCAGUGGCGAAGGCGGCUCUUUGGUCUGUAACUGACGCUGAGGCUCGAAAGCGUGGGGGAGCAAACAAGGAUUAAAUACCCUGGGUAGUCCACGCCCGUAAACGAUGAGUGCUAAGUGUUGGAGAGGGUUUCCGCCCCUUCAGUGCUGCAGCACAACGCAUUAAGCACUCCGCCUGGGGAGUACGACCGCAAGGUUGAAACUCAAAAGGAAAUUGACGGGGGCCCGCACAAGCGGUGGAGCAUGUGGUUUAAUUCGAGAGCAACGCGAAGAACCUUACCAGGUCUUGACAUCUCUUUGACCACUCUAGAGAUAGAGCUUUCCCUUCGGGGACAAAAUGACAGGUGGUGCAUGGUGGUGUUCAGCUCGUGUCGUGAGAUGUUGGGUUAAGUCCCGCAACGAGCGCAACCCCUAUUGUUAGUUGCCAUCAUUUAUUUGGGCACUCUAGCGAGACUGCCGGGGACAAACCGGAGGAAGGGGGGGGGGAGGUCAAAUCAUCAUGCCCCCUAUGACCUGGGGUACACACGUGCUACAAUGGGAAGUACAACGAGUCGCUAGACCGCGAGGUCAUGCAAAUCUUUUAAAGCUUCUCUCAGUUCGGAUUGCAGGGUGCAACUUGCCUGCAUGAAGCCGGAAUCGCU